rnacentral:rRNA from 1 species
AUGGCUUCAUCACAGCAUGUUGAAGUGGAGGCUGCGAAGCUACUUCAAAAACUCAUUCUGGAAUCAAAGGAUGAGCCCGCUAAAUUAGCAACAAAACUUUAUGUGAUAUGUCAACAUAUGAAGUUAAGUGGAAAAGAGCAGUCUCUUCCCUAUCAGGUCAUAUCUAGGGCCAUGGAGACUGUUGUAAGUCAACAUGGAAUUGAUAUGGAUGCACUGCGAUCAUCACGAGUUCCAUUUGCCGGCGGUCCACAAGCAGUAGAUUCUAGUGGCGUUAUGUCUAAGGACAAGGAGAUCAUUGGUGGUCAGUCUUCCAUGGUUGGAAGUGAUGCAUCCCAGAGCAGCGGUCAAGCUGCAUUAUGGCAUUUGCCACCAGGUUCAGCAGAUAUGGCAAGGCCUGGGGUGUAUAUUCCAGGCAGGGUUCCAGCAGGACAAAAUAGGGGUGAUGUCGCAGGAUCUGAUAUUCAUCAAGGCUCCAUGUCGCAAAAGAGUGGCAGGUCCUCUGGAGUCGAAAGCCCUGCAAGUCUGCAAAUGGAGGACACUAGAUCUAUGAAUUCACAUGAUUCUUUGAAGUCCGAUGAAAAAACAAGCAAGAAAGCUUCCUCUUCCAAGAGAAAAAGGAUGGAUUCAAAAGCAGCAGGGGAUAUGCAAUCUGAAGAAAACUCAAAAUCAGAUGGUAUCUCAAGUGGACAAAAUAUUAGAAAAAGGAAACAGGUUGGCAAAGCAGGUGCACAAGGUCAGCCCUCCAGGGGAGCUGAGCCUGAGCAAUCACAUAUACUGCAAGGUGCUACUGCUCAGGUGCCACCCUUACCUGGUGGUGCAUCAUUUUUCAGGGCUCACCAGGAAGGUCCACCAGCUUCUGCUGGGAGGACUAUUGACAAUACUAAACCAUCAAACCCGUUCGCAAUGUCACAAGUUUCAAAUUUUGCUGAAGGGCUGGCUUCUGGUAGUAUCCCCACUGAGUUGCAGAAAAGUAUACUGGGAGGAACAAAUAUGUUUAACACUGGUUUUGGCUGGAAUCAAAGUUCACAAGGUUCAGCUAUUAAGAAUACUCAAGGUUCUGUUGCCAACUUAAUGCGACCAGGAGUUAAGGUUGAAGGGAAAAUUAAUGUAGGGUCACAAGGAGCUUUUAACCCUACUCCCACAUCGCAGAUGGAUUUUCCCAAAAUCCCUCCUUACAUGUCUUCCUCCUUUGGAGGUGGCUCACAGUUUCUGGACAAGGGCAAGGAUUCGGCUUCUGGCAAUACCGGCACUGAACUUCAUUCUGCUGCUAAAGUUGGAGUUAACAUGGGGAUUGUGCAUGGCAGUCCAAUGCAAGAAAGGCAAAAUAUUACCAGAGCACCACAGAGGGCCGAAUCAUCUUUGCAAGAAGCCAGAUUGUCUUCGCUCCCGAAUAGAAAUGUUGGGCCAUAUCAAACGUCUCACAUCUCUCCAAACACACCUUUCAAAGAACAACAGUUAAAGCAGCUCCGAGCACAGUGCUUAGUAUUUCUUGCAUUCAGAAAUAAUAUGCAGCCCAGAAAGGUGCACCUUGAAAUUGCCUUAGGUGGAGGCCCCACUGCAGAGGGUGGCGGCGCGGGUCAGGGAGGUAACGAGAGCAGAGUGGCUGAUGGUUCUGUAAGGGAAAACGGAAACAGUCAGGAAAACUCUGCUAUUUUCGGCAGCCAAAGUGAUAUGUCUAGACUCCCAUCCACAUCUGCAGGCAGCAUUGCAGAGGCUGACUCUUCACUGAAGGACUCGGAAAUUAAGAAGAAGAUCAAUAUAGCUGAACAUGAGAAGUCAUCGAUGGAAAUGGAAAAUAUCCAGCAAGCUGUUAUGCAGGGAACUGGUUCAAGUUCUGAAAUGCGCUCCCAAGAAAUAGCAUCCCCUGUGCCAUCUGGACCACAGCAGUCAUACUUUCAGGGAGAUAAAAGAAGAAAUGCCCCUGAGGCCUACAGGACGGAUGCAGAAAAUUUGAACAGGAAUUUAAGUUUCGGAGGCCAGGGACCAUCUUCUUUGGGUGGUAAUAGACAACAUCCAAAUUUUGAAGCUGCUGUUUUGACCAAAGAUCGAUUACAGGAUGAAGCAUCUAAAGAAUCAUAUCCACCUUCGAGGCUUCAUCACAUGCCUAUCGAUGGUUACAACUCCAAUUUACCAGGAAAGGAUCUAACUCCAGAUACAGAUAGAAAUGAGGUUGAACAUUGUACCCAGAUGGGGGAGAUGUCUGAUCGAUCAGCUGAUGAAGGAGAUGACGAUCUAUUUGAGCAUGAUGAUUUUGCAUCAACUCCUCCAAAAUACACAAUGACUGAAAAAUGGAUCGUGGAUUAUCAAAAGAGAAAAUAUGGAGAAAAUGAAAAGAAGGUAUUAGAGCAGCAGAGCGCACAUAAAAGGAUGUCAGCAUCCUAUCAGAAGUUAAAGGAAAGUGUUAGUUCAUCUGAAGAUCUUACUGCAAAGACAAAGAGUGUCAUUGAAUUGAAAAAGCUUCAACUUCUCUCACUUCAACGUCGUGUGCGCAGUGAAUUCUUGUCAGACUUUUUCAAGCCUAAUACAGCUGAUUUGGAGCGUGUAAAAGCAGUAAAGAAACACCGGCAUGGACGCCGUGUGAAACAGCUUGAAAAAAUUGAACAGAAAAUGAAGGAGGAAAGGCAAAAAAGAAUACGUGAGAGGCAAAAAGAGUUCUUUGCUGAUAUAGAGUCUCACAGAGAGAGACUGGAGGAUAGUUUCAAGGCUAAAAGAGAGCGUCUAAAGGGUUUCAAUCGAUAUAUAAAAGAGUUCCACAAGAGGAAAGAGCGAAUUCAUCGGGAGAAGCUGGAUAGGAUCCAGCGGGAGAAAAUUAACUUGCUUAAGAACAAUGACGUUGAAGGGUAUCUUAGGAUGGUCCAGGAUGCAAAAUCUGACCGUGUUAAGCAACUACUACGAGAGACUGAGAAAUAUCUACAGAAACUUGGGGCCAAAUUACGAGGUGACAGCUCAAUGGAUGGCCGUUCUUAUGUUUCUGGUAAGGGCGUCACUGCAAACGAUGUUGAAGACGAGAGCUACCAGCCACAGAAUUAUCUUGAGAGCAACGAGAAGUACUAUCAGUUGGCCCACAGUGUGAAGGAGAUUGUAAAUGACCAGCCUACUUAUCUUAAUGGUGGGAAAUUGCGGGAGUACCAGAUGAACGGUUUGCGUUGGCUGGUUUCAUUGUACAAUAAUAAUUUGAAUGGAAUUUUAGCUGACGAGAUGGGGCUUGGUAAAACAGUUCAAGUAAUCUCUUUGUUGUGCUACCUUAUGGAAACAAAAAAUGACCGGGGCCCAUUUCUUGUGGUUGUACCAUCCUCUGUUCUUUCUGGAUGGGUAUCUGAACUCAACUUCUGGGCACCUAGUAUAAAUAAAAUUGCUUAUUUUGGUCCUCCAGAAGAAAGGCGCAGACUGUUCAAAGAGAUGAUUGUUCAACAGAAGUUCAAUGUUCUUUUGACAACAUAUGAGUACUUGAUGAACAAACAUGAUAGGCCAAAACUAAGCAAAAUACAGUGGCACUAUAUAAUAAUCGAUGAAGGGCACCGCAUAAAGAAUGCGUCUUGUAAGCUCAAUGCUGAUCUGAAGCUUUAUCGGAGUUCUCAUCGGCUAUUGUUGACAGGAACACCUCUGCAGAAUAAUCUUGAGGAGCUGUGGGCACUUUUGAACUUUCUGUUGCCCAAUAUAUUUAACUCAUCCGAAGAUUUCUCUCAGUGGUUUAACAAACCAUUUGAAAGCAAUGGUGAUAACUCAGCUGAUGAGGCCUUACUUUCAGAGGAGGAAAACUUGCUGAUCAUAAACCGUCUUCACCAAGUUCUUCGGCCCUUUGUACUCCGAAGACUUAAGCAUAAGGUUGAAAGUGAAUUGCCAGGGAAGAUUGAAAGACUUGUAAGAUGCGAGCCAUCAGCUUAUCAGAAACUUCUGAUGACAAGGGUGGAAGACAACCUUGGUGGAAUUGGAGCAGUUAAGGUUCGCUCGGUGCACAAUUCUGUCAUGGAAUUGAGGAACAUAUGCAACCAUCCAUACCUUAGCCAGCUUCAUGUUGAGGAGAUUGAGGGUCAUCUACCUAGGCACUACCUGCCAUCUAUUGUGAGGCUGUGUGGGAAACUUGAGAUGUUGGACAGAUUGCUACCCAAACUCAAAGCUACUGGCCAUAGGGUUCUACUUUUUUCUACAAUGACAAGAUUGCUUGAUGUGAUGGAGGAUUAUCUGGUAUGGAAAAAGUAUCAGUACCUUCGGUUAGAUGGACACACUUCUGGGCAUGAGAGAGGAGCACUUAUUGAUAGAUUUAAUGAUCCUGAUUCUCCAGCUUUCAUUUUUCUGCUAAGUAUCCGAGCAGGAGGCGUUGGUGUCAAUCUUCAAGCAGCUGAUACUGUCAUCAUAUUUGAUACUGAUUGGAAUCCUCAGGUUGACUUGCAAGCACAGGCUAGAGCCCACAGAAUUGGUCAAAAGAAGGAGGUUCUUGUUUUACGUUUAGAAACUGUCCGAACUGUAGAAGAGCAAGUCAGGGCUUCGGCAGAACAUAAAUUAGGCGUUGCUAAUCAGAGUAUAACUGCUGGAUUUUUCGACAACAACACAAGUGCUGAAGAUCGGAGGGAGUAUCUUGAGUCACUUCUACGUGAGUGUAAAAAGGAAGAAUCAGCUCCAGUGUUAGAUGAUGAUGCUCUGAAUAAUAUUCUUGCCCGCAGCGAAGAUGAGAUCGACAUAUUUGAAUCUAUUGACAAGCAAAGACUAGAUGAUGAAAUGGCUGUAUGGCUAAAGGUUGUUCAGGAUGGUUCAGUUAGUGGGCUAGACCCCUCAGUAUUGCCACCCCGCCUUGUGUCUGAUGAUGAUCUGAAGCCCUUCUGUCAUGCUAUGAAGAUUUACGAGUCUUCAAAUGUAAAAAAUGUGAAGGUAAAUGUGAGGAAGAAGGGCGAGCUUGGCGGCCUUGAUACAAAGCAUUACGGAAGGGGAAAACGUGCUCGUGAGGUCCGGUCUUAUGAGGAUCAAUGGACCGAAGAAGAAUUUGAAAAACUUUGUCAGGCUGAAUCUCCUGACUCACCUCAACCUGGUGGUGUAUUGAAGGAUAUAGAUAUCUCUAAAGAGAGUAAGUUGGAGGUACCUGCAGAAAGUUCAAUAGACCCAAAAGAAAGUUCAAUAGAUCCAGUCGAAGCCAAAACGGUGCCAGUCCUGGCUGUUCCAGACUCCUCACCACCAGUCCCGUCUGUUCCAGACUCCUCACCAGCAAAGCGGCGAAGAGGUAGACCUAGAAGGUCAGACGUUUCAGUAUCUCCUGUUAUGUCCCCAGCAAAAGCUGUCCAACAAGAGGCAGGAACUACACUUGGCAGUUCUGCACCAGCAAGUACCAUCGAUUCUGCAGCACCAACUGCUACCAUCCAUUCUACUGGUCCAGAUGUUACCACCCAUUCUGCUGCACCAGUUGCUGCCAUCAAACCAGAUAUUGGUGCAGAAGUUAAGGCUACUGCUUUUGUUGCUGCUGUACCAACUGCUACCAUGAAACCCGAGAUUGGUACUGAAGUUACGGACCAUGUUGUUUUGGAAGGGUCUAUAGCAAAGGAAGUUGGUCCGGCGGUAGAGAGCGGUCAUGACCCAGUAGCUGCCAGUGCAGCCCCUCAUCCACCAGCUCCUGCUACAUCUAGAGGCAGAAAGACCCAAACAGUUGAAACCCCUCGCAGACGAGGCCGAAAACCAAAAUCUCUUUCCUCAUCUAGUGCUGGUGAUGUUAAUAUAAACCCUGUGGUUGCAAUUGGUAGUGGACCUGCUUCUGUGGGUUCUCCAUAUCCUCAAGGGGAUAUGCCUGCAAGUCUCAUGUCAAGAUUUCAGAAGGAUUUGGUUACAGGUAGGCCUGUUACGUCAUUGCCAGAGGCAGUUAAGGGCAUCUCCGCCCCUGAAGGUACGACACCUGUUGCCGAAGAUAAACACACUGGAACUGCAAUAAGCUCGGACAAUGCCAGCUUACUAAUGCCAAAGAUCAUUCACAACGAAAAUGUUGGAUUUGUUCAAGUGAGCUCUGAGCAAGUUUUUUCUGCAUCAGUACCUACUUUAACUGCCGUCUCAGGUGGAAUAUUGAAAGCAUCACAUAUUCUCUUGGCAGAUAAGCCUGCCGAGAAGCAAAGUGCUUCACGCCGUCGCAGAAAGAAAGCGCCUGGUGGUGAGGAUACUGGAGUAAGCACUAGGCAAAGAGCAGCUAUGAAGAAAUCUGAUGGUAUUCCUGGUACCACUGACAAUGUUGGUGCGGACACGAGCACAGCUGAGAAGCUAGGAGCAGUGAAUGUAAAAGAUGGCAGUUCACUUCAAGAUACUCCCAAGGAAUUACCAAAUAUAAACUCUCCUCCAUAUGACAAGUCUGGGUAUGACUCUCAACCAAGAACACCUAUAGCAGUUCCCAUUAGUGAAGCUGCACUUCCUAGUGGUUCCGGUAAUGCCCAUGUUGCUUAUUCUGAUAUAACUCCUAGGAUACCUACCAAUCCUGAUGUUCAAGAUAAACCAGUAAAUCUGCACAUAGGAGCACCUCUAGCGGCAGCCACACAACCUGAAGUGCCAUGUAAGACAGGGAAUGACCAUGUUGCAGUGUGUUCUGUGGUCACUACCACACAUUCUGAAACGGUUACUGAAAAACCAUUGCUAAAUCCUGUUAGUGAAGUAGCAAAUGUCCAGGUCGAAGCACCUAGUUCUUCACUUCAUAAUUCAGGUAAGAACAUCAGUACAGUGCCUUCAGAGGUCAAUAGUGUCGCUCCCAGUAAGGCAUCAGGUAGGAGGAGGAAAGGUCCUGCCUCUGAACCACGCACCAGAAGUAAAGCCGCAACAGCUGCAUGUGAACGUCGUGCUCGACUAGCUGGACCAAAGCAGACAGGUGAUGCGAGAAAAUUAGAAAUAUUGGCAAGCCCAAGCACGGCGGUUUGUGUUUCUUCAGUUGAGCAACAGGAAACCGCCCUGGCAGAGCCUCUCACCGCUUCUGUCUGCGAACCGCAGAAGAAUGCUGAGAGUCAUGUACGUGGUGGAAUGUCUACUCCGACGGGGAUACUAGAUGCCCCAAAGCAAAUUGCUACCCAGUCAAUUACAGCAUGUACUGAAGAAACAAAUAACAGUCUAAGCACCCAGACUCCUGCACUUCCCAUAUCCAGAGAAAGUAUUCUUUCCAUGGGUGACAAGCAAGGUGUUGGAGUUGAUACCAUACAUGGACAAACAAAGAUGGUUUUGGCUGCAGAACUGACAUCUGCAAAUGAUGAACAUAAGCUGCAUGAAGUACAUGAUAAGACUGCUGAUGGUAAUAUACUCCAACACAGUGCGGCAAAUGACACACUCCAGGAUAAAACUGAUAGCAUUGCUGGUUUGGACCUAGCCUCUCGUCAUAGAAUUGGUGAUUUGGAAAUGGAGAAGGGUGAUUCUAAAACAGUGAUGUUACCAGACUGCCAAACCCCUUUUGAUGCCUCAGUUAAGGAUAUUAACGAUACUCUUGCCCCCACAGAAGCUGAUGUCAGUGAUCUGCAAAGUGAGGCUGCUGCUAUUGAUGUGACUAGUCCUAAGCAAGAUACUAUGGUAGUUGAAGCACUUUACACUAAUCCUGGAGGUUCUGCUAGUCAUCUGCCUGCUGCUUUACAAUCAACGGACUCAAACCAGCAUGCAGAACGGAAAGGAAGUUCAGAUAACAGUGGCUCUAAAAUUUUUGCAUCUGGGAAGAAAACAGAGGAAAUGGAAGGAACUUUGGAUAAGAAUACGGAUCACAAUCUUAUUCAGGCAAAUGCCAAUAUAGCUUUAGGAAGAUAUUCUCCUUCAGAGGACAAAAGAGAGGACAGUUGUGCCCAUGUAGUUGAUGGUGGGCUGUUGGGAAGCAAACAAACUCUUCCUGAAGUCGUUUCUGCUGUAAACACUGAUGGCUCUGAGGAAGCACUCAAUGCUUCGUCUACCCACUCGAAUAAAGAUGCCACCUUGGUUUGUGAAGUAACAAAGGAUCCUGAGAGUCAUGUAUCAGUGUCUGUACUGGCCUCUGCUGCUAUGAACGCUGGUGAUGACUCUGAGGAAGUUCACAAUGUUCCAUCCACCCAUUCUGAUAGAGGGGGCAGCAUGGUAGAAGUUGACGCGUCUAGAGAUGAUGCUACCUCUAUUUGCGAAGUACGCAAGGAUCCUGAGAGUAAUGUAUCUGGUGAGUUGUCGAUGCCAGUACGGUUAGCGGAGCUUGAGUUAGAACUGCCAAACCAAUCCAAAUCUUCUAGCCAGUCUAGCGCAGUAAAUGCUGAUGAGACAAAGGCCAGUAUCAACAUUCAGACUACUUCAUUGGUAGAAUCAGGAGAACAAAAAUCACCCAGAAAUGGUGCACAUGAGUUGAAAGAAGGGAUGGAGUUGGCUGGGCCUAAGAUUGAGUGCACCAUACAAAUGCCGAGUCCCGAUGAUAAGAGUUCUGAGGCUCAUAGUUUGGCACAACGGGAGAUGGUUUCGGGUGCAGAACAAGCAUCUAUGAAAGAUGAUAAAGAAAACAAGAUGGUUGAUGUUACAUUUUCGUCUGGUGGGGAACAAGAAACACAGCGAGCUGAUGUAGACUUGCCCACAUGUCCAACAUAUGCAGAUUGUGAGGGUGAAAAGGACGAUUCCCCUAAAACUAUUUUGGCAGGCAGCCAAUCUUUUUGUGAAGCCUCAGAUAAGGACGUUGCCCCAGUGAGAGAUGAUCACACUGAUCCGCAAAGUGAAGUUAUUGUUGUUGAUAUGAAUGAUGCCAACCAAGACUCUGCUGAAGCGGAAGCUAUGCAGAUUGAUAGUGUCUCCAAAGGAUCUUCAAGUGAUUUGCCUGCUGCUUUACGAUCGACCGAUUCAAAUCAGCUGGCAGAACAAGUAUCUCCUUGUCCGAAAGAACAUGAGAAAUUGGAAGAAACUUCUGGUGAAAUUGGUGGUGGCAAUUCCAAUCGUAGUCGGACUGAUGGUGAUUCUCAUAUUAUGAAUCUAGUUGGUUAUUCGGAAGACUCAGAUGAGGACGAUUCUAUCCAGGUAGCUGAUGUUGGUGAUGUGGGAAGUAAAGAAACCACUCAUUAUGACAUCUCAGCUGUCGCUAGAGGAGCAGAACCAGGAGAUGGACCCUGCACAGAGCCUACUUGUGAAACUGCUGUUCAUGUGCACGAAUGCAAUGCGGACGUUGCUAUUUCUGAGGAUGGUCAUGGCACAACGGCCCUUGGCAGCGUCCAAGUGUCUACGACAGAACUAAAGGAUUUGGAGAGUGGAAGAUGUCUAGAACAUGGAAUAGGAACCCCUGUGGCUCUUCAGGAGGGAACUGCUGUCGCUACAGAACCAGAAGCAAAGAAAGAGGUCGACGAACCUACUCAAAAUGAAGAUGUUGAGCUGGCUGCCAUAAAGCCAGAGGCGGUGGAGCAUGCUGGUACAGAGGCCGAUCCAAGUAAAGAAGCAUCUAUACCUCCUCAAGAGGAAACCACUGCUGUAGCCUUGGUUACAGGACCGGAACAAAAUGAAGAAGCAGAUGCACCUACUCAAGUCGAACCAGUUGCUAUAGUGCCAGAUUCCAUGGAGCAUGCUAGUACCGAAGUUGAUCAAAGUAUAGAAACAUCUGUGCGUCUCCCAGAAAAAACUUCUGUUAUACCUGGUACGGAACCAGAAGAGAAGAAAGUAGAGGCAUCCUCCCAAGAGGAUAAUGUUGAAGCAGUUGCUGCAGAGCCAGAACCUGCUGGAUCCCAGGAAAAUGCAGAAGUUUCUACCAAGCCUAGUCCUAUGGAGAUAGAGUCGGUUCAGGAAACAGCUAUGCUGGGAGAAGCUGAAACCAGGCAGCAACUGCCACUUCCGUCUGCCGAGGGCGUGGUAGCCGAGGCUAGUGAACCUCCAGAGGUGACUGCUAUGAAGGAACCAGAGUUGCUGAGCACUGAACCAGCACCCGAUGGUGAAAAUGCUAAGCUUGGAGAAGCCAAAGCUGAACAGCUGUUGCAGCAACCUUCAUCCUGCGAGGCUAUGGCAGCAGUCACAGGAGAGCUUCCUAGCGCAGCGGGAGCGAAAACGGAUGGAACUUCAGACGUGGUGGCUGAUGAGUCUCCUGCUGUCGUGGGAGAGGAGGUGCUCAACACUGAAACUGCACCUGAUGGUAAAAAUCCAAGGCCGAGCGAGGCUGAUACGGCGCAGUCGCCACCUUUGCCUGAAGAGGGCAAGGCCGUUGCAGCUACCGAGCCUGCCAACCUUGAGGAGGCGGAGGCUACUGAUGGGAAGUAG